rnacentral:rRNA from 1 species
AUACGAAGGGGGCAAGCGUUGUUCGGAAUAACUGGGCGUAAAGCGCACGUAGGCGGAUUGUUUAGUUAGAGGUGAAAUCCCAGGGCUCAACCCUGGAACUGCCUUUAAUACUGGCAGUCUAGAGACCGAGAGAGGUGAGUGGAAUUCCGAGUGUAGAGGUGAAAUUCGUAGAUAUUCGGAGGAACACCAGUGGCGAAGGCGGCUCACUGGCUCGGUACUGACGCUGAGGUGCGAAAGCGUGGGGAGCAAACAGGAUUAGAAACCCUAGUAGUCC